UGCGAAGGGGGCGAGCGUUGUUCGGAAUUACUGGGCGUAAAGGGCGCGUAGGCGGCGACUCUAGUCAGAUGUGAAAGUCCUGGGCUUAACCUGGGGACUGCAUUUGAUACUGGGUUGCUUGAAUUCGGGAGAGGAUAGCGGAAUUCCCAGUGUAGAGGUGAAAUUCGUAGAUAUUGGGAAGAACACCGGUGGCGAAGGCGGCUAUCUGGACCGACAUUGACGCUGAGGCGCGAAAGCGUGGGGAGCAAACAGG
rnacentral:rRNA from 1 species